rnacentral:rRNA from 1 species
CACUCACUAGCUGAUAUUAAAUGGAGGUGUGCGUUUCCUUUUUCCUCCAACCCUUUCCUAGAUCCUAGAGAUCCCCUAUUCCCGCGAGGGAAGCUACUCCCGUAGCUAUUUUGGACCCCCGCUGGGCCCAAGCAGCGAAGGCCCUUCUCUCGCAGCGCCUCCCUAGAAUCCCGACCUCUCCUACCACUGCCGCGCCCCACCUAGCCGUUGACCCCGGCGGUGUCCACCACGACGCCUGAGUUUGCCGAAGGCGGCACCACUGGAACCGGCGUCCGCAGACGGCUCCUGUCCAUGGGCAGGGUCGACGCAGUUCCUCGACCCCGGCCUAUCUCGCGGUCAUAGGGCGAACCCUAGGUGCCGCCGCCAUGACCUCCUGGUCGCGACUCCUCGCGGCGCCGAUGACCUGUGUCCACUUCGCCUACAGGCCGACACGGUGCACUUCGGCGCUAACACGCGAUGCAGGACGGGUACACACACAAUGGCGCUGAAGGUGUUCCGAAGAGCAUGGUAUUUUUGUGGUUAAACAGGCAUCUGACGCAGGGAAGGGGAUGUGAGCGUUCGCUAACCAUGUACUCCCUCCGUCCUUUAAAGAGUCCUUUAAAGAGUGUACUUCCAACUUUGUUGGAGGGUUAGACUAUUUCAAAGUUUGACCGAGUUUAUAUAAAAAUAUGUCAAUUUUUAAGAAACCAAAUACGUAUAUGAUGAAAAUAUAUUUUAUCAUGAAUCUAAUGCUACUAAUUUGAUGACAUAAAUAUUUUUGUAUUAUUAUAUAAAGACGGUCAAACAUAAAAAAGUUUGACUUUCCAACAAAGUUGGGAGUACAGUAGUUUAUCUGAAGGGUAUAGAAGAGAUUUCCUGUUACCUGAACCUUUUAUCUGGAAUGCAUGGACUGCUAGAGGGCUGUAGCCUGUAGAUGCACUACAGAUUUGCAAAUUGUGAUGAUAUGAAAAUAGGGAUCACUCCCAUCACCUCAAGAACUGCACCUUCUAUCUUAACUGAAUUCAGUAUUGUUAAAAAAAACUGAAUUCAGUAUUAAUGGUUAAGCUGUGUACUAAUAUUCCUAUUAUUUAUUUAUUUGUGAUGCAGUUAAGCAGCUGCUUUCUUGUUUGCAUGAAAGACGAUAUCAUUGAGGGAAUUUAUGAUACUUUCUCGGAAUGUGCUUCCAUAAGCAAAUCUGUGUCAAUUCACAAUGUUUGAGCUACUGGCAGUUAAAUUCGAGGAACUAAUGGAAUUGUCGCCAUCCUACGUGUUUUCAGUGAUACUGCAUGCUGUGUCGAUCAAGGUGGAGGAAAGAGAAAAGGUAAGUAGCUUCAGUUGGUCGGACCCAAUUUACAUAUUCUUAAUGGUUCUAUCUUUUAGGUGCAUUUGCUAUAUAUUUGGAGCCUUGGCAUGCUGAUAUUUAUGAGUUCCUUGAUUUGAGAAAGAACCAUCGGAAGGUAAACAUUCUAGAAGUAAUACGUAACACACUUCCAGGCAGAGAUACCCGAAACUGACUACCAGUUUGGAUUUACUUUUUUCGCACUGGAUCACCACCCUCAUGCUAUUGAUCUCUUUGUUCAUUUAUCAGGAACAGUAAUUUGCAAUGAGAAAAGCAUUUUAAUUAAUCUGAAUCAAUUGUUUAUGUACAAUUAGUUGUUCAUUUUUUUUUAUUAUCUCUUGUAUUUUUAGUUGUUCAAGUGCUCCAUAUAUGCUUGCUCACUGUAUAUUGUAAGAGGGUGAUAACAAGAGUGGAUCUCUCAAGCUAAUUAGGCUUGAUGCUUCACACCCGCCGAUACAAUUUGUUUGGUUUGGUAAGGCCCUGAAGCAUUUUACAAACUACAGUUACAAAAUUAAUCUUGGCUUUGUUUUCUAUUCUUUUCGUAGCCAUCUUGUCAGAAUCAUUCAAACAAAAGCAAAAUCCUUUGGCCUACAAGGAAUAGUAAUUGAUAGAAUAUGCAUGGUUCAUGAAUCGUGAUAAGCGACACCUAUUAUCAACCAUUGCUGUUAAAUUUGAGCAUCAACCAAAAUAAGGUGACAUUGCCAAAGUGCAGAGUUUUUCCAAUUCCUCUUUAAUUACCUCUGGUCACGAACCAUUUGGUUUUGAAGUGCGAAAUAUUGCAUUGCGGAUAUCCCUUGUGUAACCGGAGAAUAUUUUGUCUUAUGAGUAGUUUUUUUAUUCCAAACCAUGCAAUUAGAGGAUUCAGAAUUCCUCUCUAGGGGGACCCUCGUUUAUGUCCGUGCUAUCAAUUCUCUUAAUAUUAACGUCUAAGAGAACUUCUCUUGCCGGAAGGGGCAGAGCAAGGAAUUUUAUUAAUGGGGGCCAAUGAAACAUGUAAAGCAUCAAAGGGGCCAUACAUAAGAAUUUAGACAUCAAAUGCAUUAACUCACAUAGCAUUUUGGGGUAACUUGAGAAACUUUUGUAGUGUGGGGGGAGCCAUGGCCCCAGCUCUCCCUUGUUGACUCCGUCCCUGUUGCUAGCCCAAGUCGCAAUUCAUUGUGCUUUAUUUAUCAUGUGAUGUGUAAUGUGAUUACGGUGUCACUGGGCGGUCUGCCUUUUCGUGCAGUUAGCGUGUGUGUGGUCGAAGCGUUGUACACGCUAUUCAAGAAAUCAGUAAUGUUGCGGUACAUGCCGGGCAAGGUUAGUGGAUAAACACCCAUCUCCUUAUUAAAGUAAAAAACAUACGGUGUUGUUCUCUCAGGUGCAUGUUGUGUAUAUGAUGGGUAACGAAUAACAUGAGUUGUGAUGCUUGUAUGUUGACAUGGUGCAGGAGUUUCAGCUGGCACUUUGGUAAGACCGAGAGUUUAUUUGUUGAUCGUGUAAGUCCACAUUGCACGUGUGCACACAUUUGCACUUUAUAUUGUACAAUGAAAAUGUCUCUCUUGUUUUUGCUUCUUUUUUUGUAUUCUAAUGUAAUUACUAUGGAAUCAGUCUCACUCUCAUUUUUGGCAUAUUACUUGGACUUUGGAGAUAAACAACAUACUGCUUAACAUUCUUUAGGGAUCAUAACCGAUCUAUGGCAAAGACAUUUGCCUAAUUGUAGAAUCAUGCAGAUCACUGAUACUAGAAGGGCUUUGAGGCCACGAUUAAGUUGGAAUUUGGUUUUACUUUCUGCGUUAUAUUUCCCAUUUUCAUUACAGGAUUUCACUCCUAUUAUGCCUAUUUUUUAGCAUGGCCUUUUAUGUACUACAUUUCAUGUAGUAAAUAAUGUUUCUGGCCAAAACAUCACCCCUGCAGACAUCUAAUUAGAAGCUUGGAGCAUAGAAAUAAGACUCGCCCUUGAAUAACUUGGUAGGUGUCAACUUGUUUGGAAGCUACCUUCAUGCAUACAAUAAAGAUGAGGCACUCUGGUUUUUUCUUAUCGAGUUGGCGUCAAUGCACGAUUAAGGUGGGGAUGAUGCCUGUAGUAGAACAUGUUGCUGAAGAAUUGUACGCGGAGCUUCUUAAAUGUGUAGUGUUGUGACUCGGGGAAGUUUUAGUAGGACCUAUGCUAAUUUGUAGUCAAAUUGCUUUUAUAUUUUGUGAUAAUGUUUUAUUAUAGCUAGCACCAAACAAUUAUAGUGUUUAUUAAGCGAUUUCCUUCUGAUUUUGUUGUUUUUGAAGAUUAGUACGUUCAACCUGAUGCCGGUUAGGACACAGACUAUUAUGAUGCAUCGCGUAUUGGAUUGAGAAACCUGUGCCAUGUUGACCAUAUCUCCC